CACGUAGUUAGCCGUCCCUUUCUGGUAAGAUACCGUCACAGUGUGAACUUUCCACUCUCACACUCGUUCUUCUCUUACAACAGAGCUUUACGAUCCGAAAACCUUCUUCACUCACGCGGCGUUGCUCGGUCAGACUUCCGUCCAUUGCCGAAGAUUCCCCUACUGCUGCCUCCCGUAGGAGUCUGGGCCGUGUCUCAGUCCCAGUGUGGCCGAUCACCCUCUCAGGUCGGCUAUGUAUCGUCGCCUUGGUGAGCCGUUACCCCACCAACUAGCUAAUACAACGCAGGUCCAUCUGGUAGUGAUGCAAUUGCACCUUUUAAGCAAAUGGUCAUGACAACCUAUUUACUGUUAUGCGGUAUUAGUCUAUCGUUUACCAAUACGUUACUCCCCCGCUACCAGGCGUACGGUUACC
rnacentral:rRNA from 1 species